rnacentral:lncRNA from 1 species
AAUAUCAAUCCAUUAGGAAGCCUGUAACUUCAGCACAAGUUCUACAUUCGCGACGAUUGGGUCAAAUGAAACAGGGGUUAAGUAUUCCUGGAAGGGAGCGGCCUUUUGAUCCAAAGACAGCAAGUCUAGAGGACUCGGUAUUCAUCCUUAACAAAAAUGUGCCUCUUUUCGACGUUGUUCCUCCGAUUCUUGAUUCAAUUUUUCGUUCUGCUUGAUAAUUUUCGAGGGAGAAAGUAACAUUUUCAUUUUUACGUAACAAAGUCAUCUAGAGACAAACCUUCUCUUGUUUUCUCACAGCUUUGGGGAAACUUCAGAGGACACGGCUUGGUCUGUUCAUUAUGCUAACUAUAGCUGCCUAUAAAUAAGAGGGUUGACCUCAAUUGUGUGAGUAAAAGAACUGCUAUACUUGUGUUCCUUUCUGUAAUAACGAAAGCCUCUUACUUAAUUCAGUGUCUCUACUUCUUCAGCAAAAUAAAAAUAAAUUCUUUAUCGAAAUACACCCAACUUUUCCAUUUUUCUUAUAAAAAUGACACCACGUUAGGAUGGGAUUGUGCUUGUGUUGUGUCAUUGAUCUAUCCAUAUUUGUUUUUCCCAAAAACAAUUUCCAUGAAGGAGGAUGUUUUGCUGCUUGUUAGUGCACGCUAUUUAAGCACAAGACAUGAUUGAGAUUUAUGCAAGGUAUGUGGUAGAAUUUAUGUAAGACGACCGAUGAUUCAUUAGGAAAGCUAGACAUGAGAGUCAGUAAGUUUUACUAUGGUGAUCAACGCGUUGAAGAAAAAUUUUAGAAUUUUUAUUAUAAGUGGUGCAUACAAAAGUUGGUGAGUCGAGCUUGUACUCAAAUACUAGCUCAUGUAUUAGGAGUUGCCUUAGCCUUACGUUAUUAAUCUAGUAACUAAUAUUAGCGAUGUGAAAUAUUUUUUCUAUCAUCUUCCAUCAUAUGUGUGUAGGUCAAUCUUUUUGUUUGGUCCUUGUCUUGUGAUAAGAUAGUGUUAGUGAUUUUGAGAGAAAAUAUGAAAAACACAAACAAUGAAAAUUCCCUUUUACUUAAACUAAGACACAGAUUUUUUCACAGUGAAGUUGAUAGAAGACACUCGAAUGCGCAGGAGUGAAAUCUUGACAAAUUAAAGCGAGAACUAAGACAUGCUAGUCCUUUCUCGCGCAUUUAGUUGACAUUAUUUUGCUUUGCAAAUAAAUGGCUAAAUGCGGGCAUGGUUGAAGGCAUUUUAUCUUUCCGGAAGUGGAUGGAGAAAUAAAUAUAAUUAAAAGGGAUGCGAAUAAUAAAUGCCAGUUUUUCUUAAUAACGAAGAAUAUAUUAGAAAUAAAUUGAAAUGUAACAAAAUACUUGAAAUAAUUCAAGUGAUUGGUUUUUUCUCCGUCAAUAACGCUUGAUAGUUCCUUGUCAUGAGCUUCUUAUCUUCUGUCUUGAAGGAAGAAAUUGCAAAAGACGAAUAAAACGAUUUCCUUUACACAUUCAAUCAAUGCUGCUGCCUUCAUAUCUUUAUUAUUCUCGGAGGGAUGAUACUGUUGAGAGCCGAAACCAUUACCCAUUCUCACUCCUCUUAUGGCCAUUUCUAACCCUCUACAAUAAUUUCGAUAUUGCUGUUCUUCAGUUCUUCCACUAUUCAACAAAUGCGAAGGUAUGCGAUGGCUCCACUCAAUCAAGUUGAUUUUACAUUUGUUACAAUCUACUCCCGCCAUUGCUAGAGCCUCUAUGGACAUGUUUUAACAAGGUGAAGGUGGAGCUAAAUAAAAUUCACAAUUUUCCUGAAAGUUUACAGCUUCCAGGAAAUUCACCACCUCUAUAGAAUUGUAAUAAUAAGAAUUGUGGUCUCCGUAAAAGAAUUUAUAAGAGUUAAUAUAAAAGAUUUGUUUAGGAGAAUGAAUUUUAUACGGACUAGAAAUAUUCAUGAUUAAUUGGUUAUUCAGAUGGUUUAGAAAUCCUCUCGAUAUUAGGAAGCCAUUUAAGAUUCUGAUUAUUGUUGUUCUAAAUAUUAGUUUGCACCAACUUCCAAUUCCACAAUUACUCUAACAGCGGUUUUCACGGACUUAUUUAUGUAUCUGAAUCUUUGUAUUCAUGAAAGAAUAAUCUCUUGCAAACGCACAACUUCAAUUAUGAAUCAACUACCUAGCAACCAUUUCUUUACUUUUAAUUGCUUUGGAAAUUAAGGAUUCGUCAGCUGCCAAAUUCUGCAGUGAUUCUUUUUUUUUUUGGUACGUUGGAGCCUAGUAAAACUAGGCUAAAACAGAACGGGGAAUAGAGGUCCCAUAUAUAUCAUUACAUAACCAAUAACCAAGACCCUCAGGGGGAUUUUCAAAGACAUGAAGUCCAAGGGGUAAGGAACCAGCAAGUUUCGCCAUGGAAUCUGUAGCAAAAUUGGCUUCCCGAUAUAUAUGCUUUAUGGUAAUGAGCCAUUGUCUAUUCAUCAGUUCCUUUAUGGCAGUUAUGAGAGAAAAAUGUGCAUUAGACAUCAAGCUAGUAGAGGAAAUAAGUUGGGAAAUACAUUGGCUAUCCACCUCUGCAAUUAAAUAACGAAUGCCACGGUCCCAAGCAAUAUUAAGUCCUUGAAAAAAACCCUAAAGUUCUGCAGUAGUCACCCAUCCAAAUCCAAUGUUCAUGCCAAAGCCAAACUGCCACUUUCCGGAGCAUUCCCUCACCAAGCCCCCAGCGCUGGCUAGACCAUUCUUUAAUCGUGAUCCAUCAGUAUUUAAUUUGAAAAAAGAUUCAGGGGGAGCUUGCCAUCUAACAUCUUUGAUGAUCUUAUUAGUUUGACCGAAACUAAGAGUUGAUCGUGCAUUUUGAAUGUCUUGAACCCAAGAUUUAAUUUCAGCAACAACAUGAGUGCAUCAAGGGGAUUUUUGUGAGAAAAGAAAUUGAUUCCGCAGUGAUUCUGUUGCAUUGGAUGUCUUCAAUUUCCUUUUGCAUUCAAUUAUUUGUUGAACUAUUUAUGCACGAGUGGAGGAGGAAUUCUAGAAUACAUUUGAAAUAAUACAAUCAACCAAUGCAUGCACACCACUUGUAUGGAGAUUUUUCAAAAAUAAAUGUACACAUGUCAUAACAUUAUCUACUUGUUAUAUGACUGACAUGAUAUUUUUUAUGUAUUCUAAAUUUUUUCUGCGUGGAGACCAUGAGUGGUAACAUCCUCAUGACAAAAGAGUAUUACAAAGAGAGAAUCACUUGUCAAUUUAAAUAUUUAUUGUAUUGAAACUACUAAGUAUAUAAGCUCGGACAACCCUAAUUUCAUGAAGAGGGGUUAAAGACAAUACUAUUCUAAAAGAAAAUGGAACGAAAUCGUCCAUCCAUAGCCAUUAUUUGACUUUUAGAUUUGCCCUUCCAAAUUUUAACAAAAUGCGCAGACGAUUUUUAAUUUAUUUAUGUGAGCGAAGUACAACAAAAUUACUGAACCAAUCAGAACCAAGAUGGAAAUGAUCAUAAGCAAAAGUAAUUGGAAGGACGAAUGGAAGCAGAUAAAUUAUUCUAAUUAAGAAGGAUAUUUACUAGGAUCAUACCUUAAUCACUUUAUUAUAAAUUAAAAAUGUCCGUACAAAAACUGCCGCAAAUUAAUUAAACUAUUGGAAAAAGAAAACUUGUAGACAAAAUCUCAAUGAAUUUUAAGCCCAUUUGGCUAACAAAGACAUGCAACCAGCGCCUAAAAGAAGAGAAACAUUUGCUCCAAACUGAAGCCUUUUAUUGGUUUGCAUCUUUGGAUUCAUAAAAUCUGCAGCAAGAAGACCCACCAAGGACAUGUAUAUUAGGAUUCCGGCUGCCGCUGCAUUGAAUAUUCCUUCAACAAUAAGAGCAGUGGGGCUAUUUUCGUCAUAAACACUUGAUAUUCCAAUGCCUAAUUUUACACUAAUUUGAUCAUUUUGUAAUAUAAAAAUUUGACAAUUGAAAAACAAAUCAACUUUUUUUUUCUUAAAAGAAAACGAAUCAACUUUUAAAUUCAUUUUGAAGUAAAAAAAAAAGUUGACAGUAAAAUACUAUUAACGUAAGGGGAUUUCAGUAAAUUUUAGAACAUGAGAGAUAAAUGACUAAUUUUACAAGACAAAGGGGGUUAAUUUUCUCCUAAAAAAAAUUAGGUAUUGGUUGAUGACUUUUAAAAAACAGACUACUCUUUAUAAUUAUUUGUUUUAAUUUUCUUUUUGUUCGACCAAAACUCGCAUGGUAUUGGGAUAUACCUAAAUUUGAUGUAAAAUUAGGGAUUAGUUAAAUGAAAUAAUUUAAACACUGCAUAAAAUCUGCCUUUGUCGAUGCUAUCUCACUGUCUUAAGGCCUAACUUCUUGAAAUUUUUUCUGAAAGAUACAACAGGAUCACUUAUCCACAAGCCUAGUCAGCAACUUAGACACUAUUUUCAGCAUUAGCAUUGACAUAAGAACAAAACGUACAAUUGAGCUUUUUAAAAAACAUUGCAGUUGAUUGGAUUGUUAAUAAGUAUGGCACCAUAUGGAUGAUAAAAUUAAGCAGGAAGAAAGAAAAAAUAAAUUUUAUUAUGCAAAAAAUAAACUACAAACUAGGCACAAUAAAUAAAUAAAAAUAAAUUUUAUUAUGCAACCCAGAAUUCUCCUUUGCUGUCUGCCUCAAUGUUGUCCGGAAAUUUUUGGAGCUGAGCAAAAGGUUGUGGAGGGCACAUAGCUCUAUGGUCAUGGAGCCAAAACCUCAGAACUCGCAUUGAGAUGGAUUCAGCCACUAAGAGGAACGUCUUGUCCUUGAUUAGGGCAACUCCAUUUGGAAAUGCCAAACCUCUGUACAUGAUUGUCACCUCAUUGCUGUGUGGAUCAUACUUCAAGUAACUUCCCGCUUCUGCCUCCGUUAUCGAUUACAGAAGAAUAUUGCCUACAAGAAUAGUAAUUCGGUGUAAGCAUUGUCAAAUAUUAAUCUGGAAUUGAUGAACAAGAAUUAAGAAAAGAAAAUAUCCUUCUUUGAAAAUACAUGCUACUGUCAGUAAAAUAAACGACUCCAGUACUAGGAUCGAUAUCCAAGGCAUAUACAUGCUACUGUCAAUAAAAAAAGAAAGAAAAAUAUAAAUAAAUUAUCAAAUAAAAAAAUAUAAAUAAAUGGCACGUAAUGUUUAUUUUUCAUUUAUAAUAAAGUUUAAUAUACCAAAUGACUGGUGAGGUACCACCAUACCAGGCGGUGCAUGGAAAGAUGGGGAAUUUGGGACUUCCAGUGCGGCGAGAGACUGAGCAUGAGGGUGCUGCAGCGGCUGGGCAUCACUUAUGAGGUAGCUACUUAAUGACCUGAUCAGUUGAGUUUUGGGGAAUUUGGAUUUUGGAUCAAUUAGUUAGGGAGUUGAGUGAGUUUUGUAACUUUAAGAAAAUAUAAUUUGACUGUAAUUAUUAGUUAUAUCUUUAUUUUUUUACGAUAAGUUUUAAUAAGAGUAAAUUUACAAUUAACUAUUAUUAUUAAAAAAAAACCUUAGCCUCCUCUUACCUCCGCCCUUGGUACCUGCUAAAACCAAAUACCCAAAUUAUGAAAACGAAGAGCGAGACGAUAUGUUACUGGAUUGCUAUCAAAAUUUGAAGCUAGAACUUAGCAAUUGCCCAAAGAUAAAGAUUUGCUAAGAUUUUAGACCCACAGACUUUUUAUUACCAAUUUAUCUUCUUUCCUUUAAGAAUGAUGGUGAUUUGUAGAGCCAUGCCCUGUAUUCAAAAUAAACAAAUUUGAAGAAUAUAUCUGUUGAUUCCGGUAGGGCAGGAGUCUCAUGCACAAGUUUCUCAUCUAUUUUCUUACCAGAACAAAUUUCUAGUCAAAAUGAGGGUGUGAAAGGAAGAUAAAUAGACGAAAUUUGGCCCACCACUUCAUUCUUCCUAAAUGAAUAGCUUUUUACCCUAUUAAACGAGGAAAAAUGGAUUAGAUUCUCCCUUAAUUUGAUCUGAUUAGUGAUUACUAAAUAAAGACCACACACUUUAUUGUAGUGUGUUUCGUCAUUUAAUACAUUGAAGUUUGUAUGUGGCCCUAGUUUUAGAUCACUUAAUUGGAAAGGGACUUCCUUUUUUUUUUGAUACAUUGGAGUCUAGUAAAACUAGGCUAAAACAAAACAGGGAAUAGAGGUUCCAUAUAUAUCAUUACAUAACUAAUAACCAAGACCCUUGGAGGGGUUUUCAAAGACAUGAAAUCUAAGGGGUAAGGAACCAGCAAGUUUCGCCAUGGAAUCUGCAGCAAAAUUGGCUUCCCAAUAUAUAUACUUUAUAGUAAUGAGCUAUUGUCUAUUUAUCAGUUCCUUUACGGCAGUUAUUGUUAUAAGUGAAUAUGAAAUAGUUCAUUCAAAGCAAGGAUAAAUGGAUGAAAGUACUACUAAUUUUAUUCACAAUGAGGUUGCCUUUUAUAGGCGUUACAUGAACAAACUUAACGAAAUAAUAGCAGCCAUUAUUCAGCAAAUAUUGCAGCCACUUUCCAGUAACCCUAGCCUAAAGACUAGGUAAACACAAUCUUGCAAAUAACAUUACCAACAAACUUCCUAAAGACUAGGACCAUAAAAGCAACUUAUUGACACAAGGAAAUUCCAACAAUCCCUCCCUUAAACUAAAUGUUAUUAACAUUCAGUUUAAACAUUCUGCAGAAUCUUCCUCAAAUUGUAAUUUACAAACUCCAAGUGACUUUCUCAACUUCAAAAAACUAGCCAAUUUGAGGGGUUUAGUAAAGAUGUCAUCAACUUGGUCUUCACUCCUGCAAUAAACAAGAUCAAUGACUUCAUUUUUUGUCAAGUCUCGCAAGAAAUGGUAUCUCACAUCUAUGUGCUUGCAUCUUCCAUGUAGAACCGGAUUCUUUGAAAGUUUAAUUGUUGAACUAUUAUCACAGAAGAUUUGUGUUGACUCUGGUUGCUUAAACUGAAGUUCAUGAAGAAUAUUUCUCAAUCAAAGUGCUUGACAUGCACAAGAAGCUGCUGCAACAAACUCAGCCUCAGUUGUUGACAAAGUAACUAUCGGUUGCUUCUUAGAUGACCAUGAAAUAGCUGCUGAACCAAACAUAAAUACAUAUCCAGAUGUGCUUCUUCUGUCAUCCAAAUCUCCAGCAUAAUCACUGUCUGCAAAGCCAUACAAAUAUGAUUUUUUACCCUUUUUGUAGAACAACCCAAAUUCAGCAGUACUACGCAAGUAUCGAAGAAUUCUCUUUGCAGCUAAAAGAUGAUCCUCUCUUGGACGCUCCAUAUAUAUGCUGAUGGCACUAACUGCAUGCAUUAUAUCAAGUCGAGUUGCCAUUAAGUACAUCAAGCUUCCAGCAAUAUGUUUGUAAAGGGUACUAUCAACUAUUCUUUCUACAAGAUCCUUAACAAGCUUAAAUCCUUUUUCAAUUGGAGUAGUGACAGAGUUGCAGUUCUUCAUUUGAAAUCUUUCUAAGAUCUCUUCCACAUAUUUCUUUUGACAAAUAAAAUUUCCAGCAUCAGAUUGUAUGACUUCUAAGCCAAGAAAAUAAUGCAGCAAACCAAGAUCAGUCAUAUCAAAUUCAAGCAUAAUGGAUUCCUUGAAUUUCUCAAACAUUACUAUGUCAUUUCUCGUGUAAAUCAAAUCAUCUACAUAUAAGCAUACCAUAAGCAUUUUCCCAUCAUCUCCAAUUUUUAUGUACAGAGUAUGCUCAUAUGGGCAUUUUCGAAAACCUUCCUUCAAGAAAUAAGCAUCUAUAUGACUAUACCAAGCUCGGGGUGCUUGUUUUAGUCCACAUAGAGCUUUUUUCAAUUUAUAGACUUUAUGCUCACUGCCUAAUUUCACAUAUCCAGGAGGCUGUUCGAUAAAUACCUCUUCUUGUAGCUCCCCAUGCAAGAAUGCUGAUUUCACGUCUAGUUGAAAAACAUGCCAUGAAUUUUGUGCUGCAAGAGCAAUAAUCAAUCUGAUCGUUUCAAGUCUUGCAACGGGAGCAAAUACUUCCUUAUAAUCCACGCCAAACUCUUGCUUGUAGCCUUUGGCGACUAGGCGUGCCUUGUAUUUAUCAAUUUCACCAUUUUCCUUCAAUUUUGUCUUGUAAACCCACUUGACUCCUAUUGUCCUCUGCCCCAUUGGAAGUUCAGUCAACUCCCAAGUAUUAUUUUUUUCAAUGGCUGCAAUUUCUUCGUCUAUGGCUUUUAGCCAUUUUUGUUCUUUGACAGCUUCUUUAAAAGUUGUAGGAUCACAUUCUGAAAACAAGGCAAAGUGUAUGAGUGGAUUCUCAAGAGUGUUAAAUCCUGUUACCUCAUAAUCUAACAUCCAUGCAGGCCUUCUUUUAUCACGUUGAGAACGUGAAUCUGUAGCUUCAACUUGUUCAUCAAGUUUAUUUGUUGCUGGUGGAGUUUCUGCUGAGACUCUAUUUUGCGGCAGGUCAGGAGCAGAGACUGUUGAAGGCUGAAGUUGCUGUGAAUUUUCUUCAAUUUCACCAUCGAAAUCUGCUGGAAUUUACUGCCCAACAGAACUGCAUCUCCACAUCCAUGUCUUCUCUUCAUAAAAAAUGACAUCACGACUAAUGACAAUUUUCUUGAUGAUGGGAUCAUAUAAUUUGUAGGCCUUUGAAUGAUCACUAACACCAAGAAAAAUGCACUUUACACCUUUGUGAUCUAAUUUUCUUCUUUUCUCAUCUGGUACGUGGACAUAUGCUAUACAUCCAAAUACCCGAAAGUGAUCUACUGCCGGCUUACAUCCACUCCAUGCUUCUUCAGGAGUUAUAUUUUGAACAGCUAUUGUGGGGCUUCUGUUCAAAAUAAAAAAACACUCCAAACAAUUGCUUCAGGCCAAAAACUUUUGGGAAGACCACUCCUCUGCAGAAGGCUUCGUACCAUAUUAAGAAUUGUAUGAUUUUUCCUCUUGCAUACACCAUUUUGCUGAGGUGUGUAGGCUGCUGUCAAUUGUCUUCUAAUUCCAUGAUUUUCACAAAAGCUUCCAAAUUCUUGAGAGUUGAACUCUCCACCAGGAUCAGUACGAAUAUUUUAAUUUGGUUGUCAACUUCUCUUUCAACUAGUGCUUUAAACAUUUGAAAGGCUGUGAAAGCUUCCGAAUUUUCUUGCAAGAAAUAAACCCAGGUUUUUCGACUAAAAUCAUCAAUAAAUGAGAUAAAAUAUCGUUUACCUCCAUUUGAUGUUGGCUUGAUUGGCCCACAUAAGUCAGAAUGCACUAGCUCCAACACUUUCUUUGCCCUCCGGGAUUUUCCUUUUGGAAAAUUAUCUCGAUGUUGCUUACUGACAAUACACUCUUCGCAAAGCUGUGAAGGUUGCUCAAAUUGUGGAAGGCCUACCACCAUAUUUUUCUGCUGCAAGGUCUUCAAUCCACCAAAACUAAGAUGCCCGUAACGAAAGUGCCAUAACCAUGCUGUAUCUUUGAAAUUUGCAGCAAAACAUGAGUGUGCAGUAUGGUGAAGAUACAAUGGAAACAUUCUGUUUGCCGUCAUUUUCACUUGAGCAAUUAAGCCUAAUUUUUCAUCAUGGAUUCGGCAAACUGCUUCCUUGAUAGAGAUCUCAUAGCCCUUUUCUUGUAACAGGCCAACACUGAGAAGGUUAGUUUUCAGUUCAGGAACGAAUAGAACAUUUGAGAUAGAAUGAGAACUUUCCUUGGUUUGGAUUGCAACCCUUCCUUUCCCUAUGACAGAAACUGUGGAGUCAUCACCAAAUUUUACAAUAUUUUGAAAAGUCUCAUCCAAGUCAGAAAAAGCAGAUUUAUCCCCACACAUAUGAUUGCUGCAACCGGUAUCUAAGUACCAUAGAUUUUGGUGACUUUCCUCCUUUGUAUGACAUGCCAUAAGAAGGGAAAUUUCUUCUUCCUCCUUUUCUGCAAAGUUAUAUUUCUCGCCACGAUUCUUAUUUAAAUUAGUACGGCACUCGGAGCGGUAAUGACCGUACUUCUAACAACGUAAGCAUUUAACAUUCGAUUUGUCUUUAGACUUUGGUUUAUGUCCUGUCGAAUUCUGACCAUCACAAUCCUUUCCUUUUCCUUGAGAAUCAUCAACCUUUUCUUCUGAUCUGUUCUGCCCAUUCUUGCCUUUCCAACCUCGUUUACCCCCUCCAGUUGGUUUGAGAUUUGCUGCUGCCUGUAAUGCCUGUUCUUCCUUAUCCUAUCGGAUUACUUUCUGCUCAUGGACUAGCAAAGUUCUUUCCAAUUCAUCAAUUGAAAGUGUGUCAAUAUCCCUUGAUUCCUCAAUCGCACAAACAAUAUAGUUAAAUUUUGCCGUUAAAGAUCAAAGAAUCUUCUCAAUUAUGAUAACAUCCUCGAGCUGCUCGCCAUGAAUUCGUCUCUUAUUUGCGAUUGCCAUUGUCCUUGCAAAGUAUGCUGAGACCGACUCUCCCAUCUUCAUUCGUAGAGAUUCAAAUUCAGCUCGAAGUGUCUGGAGGUGUACCCGUUUUGCCCUUGUUGUCCCUUGGUACUUCUUUUUCAAGGAAUCCCAAAUUUGUUUGGAGGAGUCUUUGUUAAGAAUUGUUUCCAAGAUUGAGCGAUCAAUAGCUUGGAACAAGUAAUUCUUUGCCUUGAGAUCCUUUAAUCGUUGCCCUUCAAGCUCUAUUUUCUGAGCAUCCGUCAAAACAACACCGGCUGGUGGUUCAGUUAUUCCAAUUGAAACAACCUGCAAAUACUCCUUGGACCUUAAGAAAUUCUCCAUCAACAUGCUCUAAUGGUCAUAGUGACCAUCAAAGCGGGGAAUUACAGGUUGAACAAAAUUCUCAGAAGCCAUGAAUUUCUGCUGCUGCAACACGAGUGAAAAAAGAGCCAAGUAAGCUGCUGUUACUAACUCUGUCAAUUCCACUUUUCUAAUUCAAGCUCUGAUACCACUGUUAUAAGUGAAUAUGAAAUAGUUCACUCAAAGAAGGAUAAAUGGAUGAAAGUACUACUAAUUUUAUUCACAAUGAGGUUGCCUUUUAUAGGCGUUACAUGAACAAACUUAACGAAAUAAUAGCAGCCAUUAUUCAGCAAAUAUUGUAGCCACUUUCCAGUAACUCUAGCCUAAAGACUAGGUAAACACAAUCUUGCAAAUAACAUUACCAACAAACUUCCUAAAGACUAGGACCAUAAAAGCAACUUAUUGACACAAGGAAAUUCCAACAGUUAUGAGAGAAAAAAUGUGCAUUAGGCAUCAAGCUAGUAGAGGAAAUAAGUUGGGAAACACAUUGACUAUCCACCUCUGCAAUUAAAUAACGAAUGCCACGGUCCCAAGCAAUAUUAAGUCCUUGAAAAAGACCCCAAAGUUCUGCAGUAGUCACCGAUCCAAAUCCAAUGUUUAUGCCAAAGCCAAACUGCCACUUUCCAGAGCAAUCCCACACCAAGGCCCCAGCGCUGGCUAGACCAUUCUUUAAUCGUGAUCCAUCAGUAUUUAAUUUGAAAAAAGAUUCAAGGGGAGCUUGCCAUCUAACGUCUUUGAUAAUCUUAUUACUCUAACCGAAACUAAGAGUUGAUCGUGCAUUUUGAAUGUACUGAGCCUAAGAUUUAAUUUCAGCAACAACAUGAGUGCAGCAAGGGGAUUUUUGUGAGAAAAGAAAUUGAUUACGCCAAAACCAAAUUUUCUAGAUAGCCGCUCCAAAUAAACAUGCCCAUUCAUCCCCCACUUCAUUGAUACCAGUCGUUCCCAAGUUGAAACAGAGCCAAUCACGAAAAUUAAAGGAGAAAAAAUGAUGUCUGAAGUUGACCGGAAUUAAACAAUUCCAUAUUCUCUUUGCAACAAAACAGUCCCUAAGUGCAUGCAUCGCGUUUUCUCUCUCAUGGCCACAUCUUUCAGUAUUCAUUUUAUCAAGAAUAUGCCUCUUAAAAAGCUCCUCUCUAGUUUUAAUUUUUCCAUGCAUCACCAACCAUAAAAAAAUUUUAACUCGUUGGGGCCGGGAAAGGGACUUCCUUAAUUAUUUUUCAAAAGCACAUCCUAUAAAACUCCAACAGAUGGAGUCCAAGUUCUAGAAGAGAUGAACAAAUGAUGUCAAUUAAAUGGCAAUAGCUCGCCAAAGAAGACAGAGAAACAAGUUAGGAGAGAUUCUAGAGUGUACCAAAAGUAUUACAUUUAAUAUAUAUAUAUAUAUAUAUAUUUUAUGUGUGUAUUUAUUUUAAAAAAUUAUUAUGUAAUUAAUUAUUAUAUUUAAUUAAACUAUACAUAUCAUAUAUGUAUUAGUUAUAUGUAGCACUUAUAUUAUACUCUAGAAUUUCUCACAAGAUAAUAUGUCAAUAUACCACAAACACAAAGUUUGAAUCCUGUGAAAUAUGUUUAAAAUUGACUCUUGCAGAAAUUAUUAUGCGGUGGUGAAAUGAUUAUGAUAAAUAAUAUAUUAACACAUGUCAAUAUAUAAUUAUGCUACAUCAAUGAGGGUACCAUUGGUUUCACAUUUUUAUUUUACGUCUUAACUUUUGUAUUGACAAUAUUAGUUUUGUAUUUUAUACACAUAUAUAUAACUAGUAAGUUAUUUUUUGCAAUCAAUAAAUAUCUAAUAACUCAAUACUUUUAUAUUUAUGCUCAUAAAAUUUUUACUUUUUAAAUAAAUAUUAAAAUAUCUUAAAAAUAAUAAAUUAUAUUUUUUAACACUAAUUAAAACAAAUAAUUUUCACAUUUAAUCUUGUUUUAGUUAAUAACAUGGACCAUUCGCUCACCACUUGGCAUAACUUUGUAACCUAGGUCCUGUUUGGAAUCGAAGUAUUAUACCUUUUAAGUUACAACUGCCGUAAAAAAGUUGUAAUUAUAAAAAAAAAAUUAAUAGCUGUGAACUUAAAGAUUGCUUACUAAACUUUAGGUAUUUAUUUAUUUAAUUAAUUGUCUAAAAUUUACUUGUUAAUGUUAUUGACAAUACGUAUGUAUUGAUUAAAAAGAUGAAGUAAGGUAUUGAUCUUAUUGAUCAACAGAAAUAUUUUAUACUAGAUUGACAUAUUUGUGUAUUUAUUUUAAUGUUAAAACUUUAAUUUCUCAUUUGUACUGAUAAAAUUUAGAAAUGGGUAUUCUAUGUAGAUUUUUAAGCUCCUAUUAUAAAUUUAUAGUUUGACUUAUAUAAUUUAAUUUAUUUUUUGUGUUUUAAAAGUAUUGUUUUAAUAUUUGUGUAGUAAAAACCCAUUGCAGGUUACGCGAGGAUUUAGUAAUUGUUAAAACCUACGGCAGUUGAUUUUUUUUUUUAAAUAAAAAACCCAUAGCGAGUUAAGAAUUUAUUGAUUUAAUUACUUUUUACAAGUGCAUGUUUGAUAAUGAUAAAAUCACUGCACUGAAAGAAAUUCUAUGAAGAAUAUAAUUAUUGGUCUGUAUUUUUAAUGAAAUUUACAGAAUUAUUUAUACAAAAUAAAGACAAAGUAACUGUUGAAAGGCUUAAUAAUAUUAAAGGAGAAUAAGUGAAUACUUCCUAAACUAUUGGACAAUAUCUUUAUAAAAUAGGAAUGAAAUAUUCCUACAUGAUAUUGACAUUCAUGUGCAAAAAUCGUGCCGGAGAUAUUUCUUGACAAAUAACUUUGACGGGAGCAAGUCGAGUGGAGUGAUAAGCCGGACAUUCUUGACUUGACCGUUAAUGACUAGCUAAACAGCAUAAAUAAAUGUAUAACGAUUCUUAUAUAAAAAGCCACCACCCCAAGCCAAAAGAAAAAAAAAAAUUGUGCUGAAUACAACAAUAUAAUUUCUUCAGUUUUUACUUGGAAACAAGAGAGAUGAAUAUGAAGAAGCAGAAGCAGAAGCCAAAAGCUAUUGUAGUUGGAGGAAGCAUUGCUGGGGAAUCAUGCGCAAAAGCACUUAUUUCAGCAGGAUGGGAUGUUGUUGUGAUUGAGAAAACUCGUGGAUCCCCAACCCAAAACCCAACCGGUGCUGGCCUUGGACUCGAUCCAUUGGCUCAGAAAAUUGUUCAGUCAUGGCUCCAUGAACCUGAACUUCUUUACAACAACACUUUACCUAUCACCAUUACUGAGGUAUAUAAUAUAAUAUAUUUAAUUUCUUUUUUCCCAGUAGAAUCCAGUAGUGCUUUGAAAUAUUUUUUUUUUUGGUUUUAACCACGAGGUAUCCUGGGGAGGGCCCCAACUGUGGGAGGCACCUUUAAGCCCGUACCACAACCCACACUCGAACUGGGAGGCACAGGUUCCCCCAACAAAAUUGACUUUCCUGCGACACGUGUAUACUUUGAAUUAUACUGAUCUCUUAAAGAUAUUAGUUGCACACUGUGUAUAUACAAUGGUGUAUGGUUAAGAUUUGAAAAAAGUAUAUUUUGUUCUGCACAAAAUACAAUUUAGAAUGGAAUCUCAUUGUGAAAAAAAUAUCUAUAUAUGUUGAAUAGAUAAAAUUUCAAUUUGUGUUUAAUUGCAGUACCUAGCAACAGACGGGGAAAAGAAGAUCAGCUGGGUAAUAGGAAGAGAAGAAGGCGCUAAGUUUCUGAAUGCAUAUUGGGCUGAUCUUCAUGGCCUUAUAUACAAUACUCUGCCACCUGAAAUAUUUUUAUGGGGUCACCAAUACCUCUCUUUCUGUAUUUCUGAAGACAAAUUAACUGUCAAAGUUAGAGCUAAGGAUCUUCAGACUGCUGAAAUAAUCGAGAUAGUAGGAGAUUUGCUCGUUGGAGCAGAUGGGAUCCUCUCAUCAAUUGGUCGGAGCAUUCUACCUGACUUCAAAUUGAGGUUUGUGCUUGCUUGUGAAUAUCAAUAAAAGUAAUUAAUUUUUGAGUAUUUUGUUUCUUAAAUUUCAAUGUGUUUUUAAUAGGUACGCAGGAUACUGUGCGUGGAGAGGUGUUUUUAAUUUUUCAGAAAGCAAUUCAGAAACCAUCUUAGGCUUUCGAAAAUCGUAUCCUGAUAUUGGGAAAUGCCUUUACAUUAAUAUUGGUUCAGGAUCUCACAUCAUAGUCACUGAGCUUAAGAAAGAGAAGCUCAAUUGGGUUUGGUAUGUCAAUCAACCUGAGCCCGAGCUCAAGGUAACCGCUUACUUUUGUUUCAUCUUUUUAUUUUGUUUUCCGGGGUUUUGGGUUGAGUGCUAAAAUCUAAUUUUUGCAAACGAUCAACAAAGCUCAGACCAUCACUGGAUCCAAUUUUUUUUUUUUAAUUUUAAUUUUCCGGUUUAUCAAUGCAGUAUGACGUGACAUUGGGAAACAAAUUAUUUUAUUCUCUGCAGGGAAAUACAACUUCUGUGAAAGUAAGCAGUGACAUGAUCGAGGAGUUGCACCAAAGAGCAGAGCAGGUUUGGUUACCUGAAUUGUCAAGAAUGAUCAAAGAAACAAAGGAUCCUUUCCUUAAUGCUAUAUAUGAUCGGGAUCCUUUGGAGAAAAUCUUCUGGGACAGAGUGGUGUUAACAGGAGAUGCAGCUCACCCGACAACUCCACACUCUGCCAGAAGCACAAACAUGGCGAUAAUAGAUGCAGCAGUGUUAGGAAAAUGCCUCGAGAAGUGGGGGCCGGAUCAUUUAUACUCUGCUCUGGAAGAAUAUGAAUCCAUUAGGAAGCCUGUAACUUCAGCACAAGUUCUAUAUGCGCGACGAUUGGGUCAAAUGAAACAGGGGUUAAGUAUUCCUGGAAGGGAGCGGCCUUUUGAUCCAAAGACAGCAAGUCUAGAGGACUCGGAAUUCAUCGUUAACAUAAAAGUGCCUCUUUUCGACGUUGUUCCUCCGAUUCUUGAUUCAAUUUUUCGUUCUGCUUGAUAACUUCAAAGGACACGGUUGGUCUGUUCAUUAUGCUAACUAUAGCUGCCUAUAAAUAAGAGGGUUGACCUCAAUUGUGUGAGUGAAAGAACUGCUAUACUUAUGUUCCUUCCUGUAAUAACGAAAGCCUCUUAAUUCAGUGUCUCUACUUCUUCAGCAAAAUAAAAAUAAAUUCUUGAUCGAAAUACACCCAACUUUUCUAUUUUUCUUAUAAAAAUGACACCACGAUAGGAUGGGAUUGUCCUUGUGUUGUGUCAUUGAUCUAUCCAUAUUUGUUUUUCCCAAAAACAAUUUCCAUGAAGGAGGAUGUUUUGCUGCUUGUUAGUGCACGCUAUUUAAGCACAAGACAUGAUUGAGAUUUAUGCAAGGUAUGUGGUAGAAUUUAUGUAAGACGACCGAUGAUUCAUAAGGAAAGCUAAACAUGAGGGCUAAUAACUUUUACUAUGGUGAUCAACGCGUUGAAGAAAAUUUUUAGAAUUUUUAUUAUAAGUGGUGCAUACAAAAGUUGGUGAGUCGAACUUGUACUCAAAUACUAGCUCAUGUAUUAGGAGUUGCCUUAGGCUUACGUUAUUAAUCUAGUAACUAAUAUUAGCGAUAUGAAACAUUUUUUCUAUCAUCUUCCAUCACAUGUGUGUAGGUCAAUAUUUUUGUUUGGUCCUUGUCUAGUGAUAAGAUAAUGUGAGUGAUUUUGAGAGAAAAUAUGAAAAACACAAACUAUGAAAAUUCCCUUUUACUUAAACUAUGACAGAUUUGUUUACACUGAAGUUGAUAGAAGACAAUCGAAUGCGCAGGAGUGAAAUCUUGACAAAUUAAAGCGAGAACUAAGACAUGCUAGUCCUUUCUCGCGCAUUUAGUUGGCAUUAUUUUGCGUUGCAAAUAAAUGCGGGCACGGUUGAAGGCAUUUUAUCUUUCCGGAAGUGGAUGGAGAAAUAAAUAUAAUUAAAAGGGAUGCGAAUAAUAAAUGCAAUUUUUUCUUAAUAACGAAGAAUAUAUUAGAAAUAAAUUGAAAUGUAACAAAAUACUUGAAAUAAUUCAAUUGAUGGGUUUUUUCUUUGUCAAUAACGCCCGAUAGUUCCUUGUCAUGAGCUUCUUAUCUUCUGUCUUGAAGGAAGAAAUUACGAAAGACAAAUAAAACGAUUUCCUUUACACAUUCAAUCAAUGCUGCUCAUCCAUAAGUUUCCCAUUUAAUAAUAAUAAUAAUACAAUACAGAUAGCUCAACAGCACCAACCAAAACUUCACCACCAGUCACGGUGAAAUGUGAGAUGCAUGCGCUGAUUUUUAUUUUUAUUUUAAUUUUUAUAAUUACUGAUCGAAUAACAUUCUUUUGUUUAAUUAUUUGUUUUGAAUAAACUAGAGAAUGACAUUUAAAAUAUCAAAUAUUAAAUUUAAUGAUUUGUUGAGAGUGGUAAGAGUAUCUUCGCAUAAAAACUAAAAGUUAGUUGGUUAGCUAGUUAUAAUAGAAAAAAAUUAAGGGACCAAUUUGAAAUAUUUGAGCUAGUUAUAUAAAUUUCCCAUAGAUUUUCACGUACCGUUAGUUUUAAGAAUUCAACUUUGACAUGAUUAUGAAUUCCAAAAAUUGAUUAAGAAGAAAGACAGAAACUUUAGCAAUGAUGCUGAAUCAAUCAUUCAUUUUAUUUAAAUUAUGACUGGUAAUGUUUGGGGUUGACGACGCCUCACCAACUGUCAGGCAAUUAUCGUUUCCAAAAGUUUUCCAGAUUCAGCCUGAAAAUUUAACGGGUGUAAAAAAAUAAUUGAGGAUGAGUCUUUCUUUGUUAUUAUAUCAAUUGUUUUAUAAUUUUAAGAAGAUGAAUCAGCAUUGUAAGCCAUCAUUUUCAUUUAUAAUAAAGUUAAUAUACAAAAUGACCGGUGAGGUACCACCAUACCGGGCGGUGCAUGGAAAGAUGGGGAAUUUGGGACUUCCAGUGCGGCGAGAGACUGAGCAUGAGGGUGCUGCAGCGGCUGGGCAUCACUUAUGAGGUGGCUACUUAAUGACCUGAUCAGUUGAGUUUUGGAGAAUUUGGAUUUUGGAUCAAUUAGUUAGGGAGUUGAGUGAGUUUUGUAACUUUAAGAAAAUAGAAUUUGACUGUAAUUAUUAGUUAUAUCUUUAUUUUUUUACGAUAAGUUUUAAUAAGAGUAAAUUUACAAUUAACUAUUAUUAUUUUUUUAAAAAAAAAACCUUAGCCUCCUCUUACCUCCGCCCUUGGUACCUGCUAAAACCAAAUACCCAAAUUAUGAAAACGAAGAGCGAGACGAUAUGUUACUGGAUUGUUAUCAAAAUUUGAAGCUAGAACUUAGCAAUUGCCCAAAGAUAAAGAUUUGCUAAGAUUUUAAGACCCACAGACUUUUUAGUACCAAUUUAUCUUCGUUCCUUCAAGAAUGAUGGUGAUUUGUAGAGCCAUGCCCUGUAUUCAAAAUAAACAAAUUUGAAGAAUAUAUCUGUUGAUUCUGGUAGGGCAGGAGUCUCAUGCACAAGUUUCUCAUCUAUUUUCUUACCAGAACAAAUUUCUAGUCAAAAUGAGGGCGUGAAAGGAAGAUAAAUAGACGAAAUUUGGCCCACCACUUCCUAAAUGAAUAGCUUUUUACCGUAUUAAACGAGGAAAAAUGGAUUAGAUUCUCCCUUAAUUUGAUCUGAUUAGUGAUUACUAAAUAAAGACCACAGACUUUAUUGUAGUGUGUUUCGUCAUUUAAUACAUUGAAGUUUGUAUGUGGCCCCAGUUUUAGAUCACUUAAUUGGAAAGGCACUUCCUUAAUUAUUUUUCAAAAGCACAUCCUAUAAGACUCCAACAGAUGGAGUCCAAGUUCUAGAAUAGAUGAAUAAAUGAUGUCAAUUAAAUGGCAAUAGCCCACCAAAGAAGACAAAGAAAACAAGUUAGGAGAGAUUUUACGGUAUACCAAAAGUACUACACUUAAUUAAUACAUAUACGCUAUAUGUGUAUUUAUUUUUAAAAAAUUAUCAUGUAAUUAAUAGUUAUAUUUAAUUAAACUAUACAUAUCAUACAUGUAUUAGUUAUAUGUAGCACCUAUAUUAUACUCUAGAAUUUCUCACAAGAUAAUAUGUCAAUAUACCACAAACACAAAGUUUGAAUCCUGUGAAAUAUGUUUAAAAUUGACUCUUGUAGAAAUUAUUAUGUGGUGGUGAAAUGAUUAUGAUAAAUAAUAUAUUAACACAUGUCAAUAUAUAAUUAUGCUACAUCAAUGAGGGUACCAUUGGUUUCACAUUUUUAUUUUACGUCUUAACUUUUGUAUUGACAAUAUUAGUUUUGUAUUUUAUACACAUAUAUAUAACUAGUAAGUUAUUUUUUGCAAUCAAUAAAUAUCUAAUAACUCAAUACUUUUAUAUUUAUGCUCAUAAAAUUUUUACUUUUUAAAUAAAUAUUAAAAUAUCUUAAAAAUAAUAAGUUAUAUUUUUUUAACACUAAUUAAAACAAAUAAUUUUCACAUUUAAUCUUGUUUUAGUUAAUAACAUGGACCAUUCGCUCACCACUUGGCAUAACUUUGUAACCUAGGUCCUGUUUGGAAUCGAAGUAUUAUACCUUUUAAGUUACAACUGUCGUAAAAAUUUUGUAAUUAUAAAACAAAAAAUUAAUAGCUGUGAACUUAAUGAUUGCUUACUAAACUUUAGGUAUUUAUUUAUUUAAUUAAUUGUCUAAAAUUUACUUGUUAAUGUUAUUGACAAUACUUAUGUAUUGAUUAAAAAGAUGAAGUAAGGUAUUGAUCUUAUUGAUCAACAGAAAUAUUUUAUACUAGAUUGACAUAUUUGUGUAUUUAUUUUAAUGUUAAAACUUUAAUUUCUCAUUUAUACUGAUAAAAUUUAGAAAUGGGUAUUAUAUGUAGAUUUUUAAGCUCCUAUUAUAAAUUUAUAGUUCGACUUAUAUAAUUUAAUUUAUUUUUUGUGUUUUUAAAAGUAUUGUUUUAAUAUUUGGGAAGUAAAAAUCCAUUGCAGGUUACGCGAGGAUUUAGAAACCUACAGCAGGUGAAUUUUUUUUAAAAAUAAAAAACCCAUAGCGAGUUAAGAAUUUACUGAUUUAAUUACUUUUUACAAGUGCAUGUUUGAUAAUGAUAAAAUCACUGCACUGAAAGAAUUUCUAUGAAGAAUAUAAGUCUUGUUCUGUAUUUUUAAUGAAAUUUACAGAAUUAUUUAUACAAAAUAAAGACAAAGUAGCCGUUGAAAGGCUUAAUAAUAUUAAAGGAGAAUAAGUGAAUACUUCCUAAACUAUUGCACAAUAUCUUUAUACAAUAGGAAUGAAAUAUUCGUACAUGAUAUUGACAUUCAAGUGCAAAAAUCGUGCCGGAGAUAUUCCUUGACAAAUAACUUUGAUGUGAGCAAGUCGUGUCACGUGUGGAGUGAUUAACCCGACUUGACCGUUAAUGACUUUCCUUUUGGUAAUCUUGGUCAGCUUUCUUAACAAGUGGUACCCAUAACCCAUCCAUACUGCUAGGCUAGGUAAACAGCAUAAAUAAAUGUAUAACGAUUCUUAUAUAAAAAGCCACCACCCCAAGCCAAAAGAAAAAAAAAAUUGUGCUGAAUACAACAAUAUAAUUUCUUCAGUUAUAUUUCCUUGGAAACAAGAGAGAUGAAUAUGAAGAAGCAGAAGCCAAAAGCUAUUGUAGUUGGAGGAAGCAUUGCUGGGGAAUCAUGCGCAAAAGCACUUGUUUCAGCAGGCUGGGAUGUUGUUGUGAUUGAGAAAACUCGUGGACCCCCAACCCAAAACCCAACCGGUGCUGGCCUUGGACUCGAUCCAUUGGCUCAGAAAAUUGUUCAGUCAUGGCUCCAUGAACCUGAACUUCUUUACAACAACACUUUACCUGUCACCAUUACUGAGGUAUAUAAUAUAAUAUAUUUAAUUUUUUUUUUCCCAGCAGAAUCCAGUAGUGCUUUGAAUUAUACUGAUCUCUUAAAGAUAUUAGUUGCACACGUGUAUAUACAAUGGUGUAUGGUUAAGAUUUGAUAAAAGUAUAUUUUGCUCUGCACAAAGUACAAUUUAGAAUGGAAUCUCAUUGGGAAAAAAAUGUAUAUAUGUUGAAUAGAUAAAAUUUCAAUUUGUAUUUAAUUGCAGAACCUAGCAACAGAUGGGGAAAAGAAGAUCAGCUGGGUAAUAGGAAGAGAAGAAGGCGCUAAAUAUCUGACUGCAUAUUGGGCUGAUCUUCAUGGCCUUAUAUACAAUACUCUGCCACCUGAAAUAUUUUUAUGGGGUCACCAGUACCUCUCUUUCUGUAUUUCUGAGGACAAAUUAACUGUCAAAGUUAGAGCUAAGGAUCUUGAGACUGAUGAAAUAAUCGAGAUAGUAGGAGAUUUGCUCGUCGGAGCAGAUGGGAUCCUCUCAUCAAUUGGUCGGAGCAUUCUACCUGACUUCAAAUUGAGGUUUGUGCUUGCUUGUGAAUAUCAAUAAAAGUAAUUAAUUUUUGAGUAUUUUGUUUCAUAAAUUUCAAUGUGUUUUUAAUAGGUACACAGGAUACUGUGCGUGGAGAGGUGUUUUUAAUUUUUCAGAAAACGAUUCAGAAACCAUCUUAGGCAUUCGAAAAUCGUAUCCUGAUAUUGGGAAAUGCCUUUACACGAAUAUUGGUUCAGGAUCUCACAUCAUAGUCACUGAGCUUAAGAAAGAGAAGUUCAAUUGGGUUUGGUAUGUCAAUCAACCUGAGCCCGAGCUCAAGGUAACUGCUUACUUUUGUUUCAUCUUUUUAUUUUGUUUCCGGGGUUUUGGGUUGAGUGCUAAAAUCUAAUUUUUGCAAACGAUCAACACAGCUCAGACCAUCACUGGAUCCAUUUUUUUUUUAAUUUUAAUUUUCCGGUUUACCAAUGCAGUAUGACGUGACAUUGGGAAACAAAUUAUUUUAUUCUCUGCAGGGAAAUACAACUUCUGUGAAAGUAAGCAGUGACAUGAUCGAGGAGUUGCACCAAAGAGCAGAGCAGGUUUGGUUACCUGAAUUGUCAAGAAUGAUCAAAGAAACAAAGGAUCCUUUCCUUAAUGCUAUAUAUGAUUGCGAUCCUUUGGAGAAAAUCAUCUGGGACAGAGUGGUGCUAACAGGAGAUGCAGCUCACCCGACAACUCCACACUCUGCCAGAAGUACAAACAUGGCGAUAAUAGAUGCAGCAGUGUUAGGAAAAUGCCUCGAGAAGUGGGGGCCGGAUCAUUUGUACUCUGCUCUGGAAGAAUAUCAAUCCAUUAGGAAACCUGUAACUUCAGCACAAGUUCUACAUUCGCGACGAUUGGGUCAAAUGAAACAAGGGUUAAGUAUUCCUGGAAGGGAGCGGCCUUUUGAUCCAAGGACAGCAAGUCUAGAGGACUCGGAAUUCAUCGUUGUGCCUCCUUUCGACGUUGUUCCUCCGAUUCUUGAUUCAAUUUUUCGUUCUGCUUGAUAACUUCAAAGGACACGGCUUGGUUUGUUCAUUAUGCUAACUAUAGCUGCCUAUAAAUAAGAGGGUUGACCUCAAUUGUGUGAGUAAAAGAACUGCUAUACUUAUGUUCCUUCCUGUAAUAACGAAAGCCUCUUACUUAAUUCAGUGUCUCUACUUCUUCAGCAAAAUAAAAAUAAAUUCUUGAUCGAACUAAACCCAACUUUUCCAAUUUUCUUAUAAAAAUGACACCACGAUAGGAUGGGAUUGUCCUUGUGUUGUGUCAUUGAUCUAUCCAUAUUUGUUUUUCCCAAAAACAAUUUCCUUGAAGGAGGAUGUUUUGCUGCUUGUUAGUGCACGCUAUUUAAGCACAAGACAUGAUUGAGAUUUAUGCAAGGUAUGUGGUAGAAUUUAUGUAAGACGACCGAUGAUUCAUAAGGAAAGCUAAACAUGAGAGUUAGUAACUUGUACUAUGGUGAUCAACGCGUUGAAGAAAAAUUUUAGAAUUUUUAUUAUAAGUGGUGCAUACAAAAGUUGGUGAGUCGAACUUGUACUCAAACACUAGCUCAUGCAUUAGGAGUUGCCUUAGGCUUACGUUAUUAAUCUAGUAACUAAUAUU